GACGAACGCUGGCGGCGUGCUUAACACAUGCAAGUCGAACGGAAAGGCCCUGCUUUUGUGGGGUGCUCGAGUGGCGAACGGGUGAGUAACACGUGAGUAACCUGCCCUUUACUUUGGGAUAACUUCAGGAAACUGUGGCUAAUACCGGAUAGGAGCUCCUGCUGCAUGGUGGGGGUUGGAAAGUUUCGGCGGUUGGGGAUGGACUCGCGGCUUAUCAGCUUGUUGGUGGGGUAGUGGCUUACCAAGGCUUUGACGGGUAGCCGGCCUGAGAGGGUGACCGGCCACAUUGGGACUGAGAUACGGCCCAGACUCCUACGGGAGGCAGCAGUGGGGAAUAUUGCACAAUGGGCGGAAGACUGAUGCAGCAACGCCGCGUGCGGGAUGACGGCCUUCGGGUUGUAAACCGCUUUCGCCUGUGACGAAGCGUGAGUGACGGUAAUGGGUAAAGAAGCACCGGCUAACUACGUG
rnacentral:rRNA from 1 species